GUCCAUGCCGUAAACGUUGGGCACUAGGUGUGGGGGACAUUCCACGUUUUCCGCGCCGUAGCUAACGCAUUAAGUGCCCCGCCUGGGGGAGUACGGCCGCAAGGCUAAAACUCAAAGGAAUUGACGGGGGCCCGCACAAGCGGCGGAGCAUGCGGAUUAAUUCGAUGCAACGCGAAGAACCUUACCAAGGCUUGACAUGGACCGGAAAUACCUGGAAACAGGUGCCCCGCUUGCGGUCGGUUCACAGGUGGUGCAUGGUUGUCGU
rnacentral:rRNA from 1 species